rnacentral:rRNA from 1 species
UUGAAGUCAGUCAUGCUAAUAGGGAAUCAACUUGAUGGGUCGUUCCCCCGGGAGCAAUCUUUCUUGUGCACUUCCUUGUUCGGCAGGUUAGCAUCAAUUUCGGUUGUCAUCAAAAAAUUGGGGGAAUGUGACUUCUUUCGGGAAGUGUUAUAGACCUUGAUAUAUGUGGUGAUCGGGAUUGAGGAUUGCAGCGGAUGCUUUUGGGCUAGUCACCUACCUUCUGACGGUUACCCCGCUUUCGAUAGCUUGCUAACGAUUGGGAAUCAACAGUCUAGAUAAUCUUAUAUUCGUUA